AGUGAACGCUGGCGGUAGGCCUAACACAUGCAAGUCGAACGGCAGCACAGUAAGAGCUUGCUCUUACGGGUGGCGAGUGGCGGACGGGUGAGGAAUACAUCGGAAUCUACUUUUUCGUGGGGGAUAACGUAGGGAAACUUACGCUAAUACCGCAUACGACCUACGGGUGAAAGCAGGGGAUCUUCGGACCUUGCGCGAUUGCAUGAGCCGAUGUCGGAUUAGCUAGUUGGCGGGGUAAAGGCCCACCAAGGCGACGAUCCGUAGCUGGUCUGAGAGGAUGAUCAGCCACACUGGAACUGAGACACGGUCCAGACUCCUACGGGAGGCAGCAGUGGGGAAUAUUGGACAAGGGGCGCAAGCCUGAUCCAGCCAUACCGCGUGGGUGAAGAAGGCCUUCGGGUUGUAAAGCCCUUUUGUUGGGAAAGAAAAGCAGCAGGUUAAUACCCCGCUGUUCUGACGGUACCCAAAGAAUAAGCACCGGCUAACUUCGUG
rnacentral:rRNA from 1 species